GACAGAGGGUGCAAACGUUGUUCGGAAUUACUGGGCGUAAAGCGCGUGUAGGCUGCUUGGAAAGUCGGAUGUGAAAGCCCUGGGCUUAACCCAGGAAGUGCACUCGAAACUUCCAAGCUCGAGUCCUGGAGAGGGUGGCGGAAUUCUCGGUGUAGAGGUGAAAUUCGUAGAUAUCGAGAGGAACACCGGUGGCGAAGGCGGCGGUCUGGGCCGGCACUGACGCUGAGGAGCGAAAGCGUGGGGAGCGAACAGG
rnacentral:rRNA from 1 species